UACUCUGGCACCAUGGUCAGGCCCUCAGUCUCUCUGCUUCCCCCCUCCUCUGAGCAGCUCUCUGGGGGCUCGGCCACGCUGGCCUGCCUGCUGACCGGCUACUCUCCUCAGGGAGCCGUGGUGAGCUGGCAGGUGGACGGUACGGAGGUGACGGAGGGGGUCCUGAGCAGCUCAGAGGAGGAGAAGAGCGGCCGCUACAGCAGCAGCAGCACCCUGAGCCUGAGCCAGGAGCGCUGGAUGGAAGGAGAGCUGUACUCCUGCAGGGUCCUCCAUCAGGGCCACAGCCAGACCCAGUCCCUCCACAGGAGCCAGUGUAAGGGCUAGAGGGGCCGGCUGAAGCCCAGGACAGAAGCUCUGUGUGGGGGGGAGCAGCUCUGAUCAAUAGCAGUUUGAAUGCUUGUAGAGGAAACUGAAGCUUUGUGUGACAGAGAACAACACUGCUGUAAAGUGUUGGACAACAACAACUUAGAGAGGAAUGUGUGUCGCUCAGCAGCUUCAUGUGAGUGAGCUUAAUAACUGUCAUGUUGAUCACUGAUGUUGUUGCUAAUAAAGAUUUCACUGAUACAUAACUUCA